rnacentral:rRNA from 1 species
AUUGAACGCUGGCGGCAGGCCUAACACAUGCAAGUCGAGCGGAUGAAGGGAGCUUGCUCCUGGAUUCAGCGGCGGACGGGUAAGUAAUGCCUAGGAAUCUGCCUGGUAGUGGGGGAUAACGUCCGGAAACGGGCGCUAAUACCGCAUACGUCCUGAGGGAGAAAGUGGGGGAUCUUCGGACCUCACGCUAUCAGAUGAGCCUAGGUCGGAUUAGCUAGUUGGUGGGGUAAAGGCCUACCAAGGCGGCGAUCCGUAACUGGUCUGAGAGGAUGAUCAGUCACACUGGAACUGAGACACGGUCCAGACUCCUACGGGAGGCAGCAGUGGGGAAUAUUGGACAAUGGGCGAAAGCCUGAUCCAGCCAUGCCGCGUGUGUGAAGAAGGUCUUCGGAUUGUAAAGCACUUUAAGUUGGGAGGAAGGGCAGUAAGUUAAUACCUUGCUGUUUUGACGUUACCAACAGAAUAAGCACCGGCUAACUUCGUG